CGCCCCGCCGCGCCCGGGUGCCGCUUGCCGCACCCCCGAGCCUGAGCCCGUCUACCUCGUGGCUGCCUGAGGCCCGGUUAGCCUGGCCUCCAGAGCUCUUGGACUGCAGCACCCAUAAUGAUGGCCAAAGCCGCCCCCACGGCGACUCCUCCUGCUGAAGCAAAGUCAGGCAGAACAAUAAGAUGAGCAUGGUGGUGCAGGCCUGUAAUCUCAGCUCCUCAGGCGGGAGGAUCACUUGAUCCCCGGAAGUUUGAAGCUGGACUGCGCUGACCGCACCUGUGAAUACCACUGCCCGUCAAUCAGCCUAGGGGAAACAUUCUCGAGUGCGAGCAUGACGGCUUAGGUUGAUGUUUUUCAAAUUUUCCCAAUGAUGAGUAUUGUAAGGGACCAAAAUAAAAAAAUGCCAAUGCCUAGUCCCCUCUCAUCUAGAAUAAUUCCAUAGGUGAUGAUGGGGUCCAGGACUCUGAAUUUCGUCAAUUUUACCAAAUACUUCGUCCAGUGAGGCAAAUAUGGAAACACUUGGAUCACCUCUUCGUGAACGCACAUCAGCGCAUACGCCGGCUGUUUUUAUCAGGCGCUCACCCCUCAUCCAAUGGCGUGACUAGUUGUGGGUGGAGCCCGAAAUCUGGCUGCCUAGAGAAGGCUGAAGGUCCAGUUAUAGCAUAACUAAUGUUUCCCCAGAGCUCACAUACGUGCCAAGCACCGUGCUACAGCCUCCACAGCCCCUUCAUUUAAUCUUCCCGAUGGGCCUAUGAAAUAGGUGCUCCUGGCCCGCACCGUGGCUCAUGCCUCUAAUCCCAGCACUUUGGGAAGCUGAGGAGGGAGGGUCGCUUGAGUCCAGGAUUUCAAGACCAGCCUGGGAAACACACAGAGAGCCUAUCUCUACGAAAAUUUAAAAAAUUAGCCGGGUGUGGUGAUGCCUGACUGUGGUCCCACCUACUUAGUAGGCUAAGGUGGGAGGAUCCUCUGAGCCCGGGAAGCUGAGGCUGCAGUUAGCACUGCACUCCAGCAUGGGCGACAGAGUGAGACCCUGACUCAAAAAAAAAAAAAAAAAAGAAUAGGUGCUACUUGUAGUUCCCAUUUUACCCACCAAGAAACUGAAGAUCUGAGAGACAAAGCCUACAGGGUGACCGCUAGUCACUGGUAGGGCUGGGAUUUGAACAGGGGCGGUUUAACAACUGAUCUCUCGACCAUAAUGCGUGUUGCCCAAGAAAAAAGACCGUCCUCACGGUCCUAUCCACUCCGGACUUUGCAAUUCCGUUAUUUCGUAAAUUGAGGCCUAUAAAUAGUUUGCUUACCCGUUGUCUUAGUCCCCAGUAACAUGCAGAACUAAAGAAGAAACUGAAGGAGCACCGAUUUUGUUCACCUUGCUUUUUGGUUUAGUUCUGGAGGAGAACACAGGUGCACUUAGAACAGGAUCCACACUUACCAGAGGCUUGAUUCAUUUUAGCUGCAAAGAAAACCAGUCCUCGUCUAC
rnacentral:lncRNA from 10 species